UAGGGAAUAUUGGUAAUGUGCGAAAGCGCGAACCAGCAACGCCGCGUGCACGAUGAAGGCCUUCGGGUUGUAAAGUGCUUUUAGAGAGGAUGAGGAAGGACAGUACUUUCUGAAUAAGCCUCGGCUAACUACGUGCCAGCAGCCGCGGUAAAACGUAGGAGGCUAGCGUUAUCCGGAUUUACUGGGCGUAAAGCGCGUGCAGGUGGUUUCGUAAGUUGGAUGUGAAAGCUCCAGGCUUAACUGGGAGAGGUCGUUCAAAACUGCGAGGCUUGAGAGUGGUAGAGGGAGGUGGAAUUCCGGGUGUAGUGGUGAAAUGCGUAGAUAUCCGGAGGAACACCAGUGGCGAAAGCGGCCUCCUGGACCAUUUCUGACACUCAGACGCGAAAGCUAAGGUAGCAAACG
rnacentral:rRNA from 1 species